CAUGCAAGUCGAACGGAAAGGCCCUUCGGGGUACUCGAGUGGCGAACGGGUGAGUAACACGUGGGUGAUCUGCCCUGCACUUUGGGAUAAGCCUGGGAAACUGGGUCUAAUACCGAAUAUGACCGCGCACUUCCUGGUGUGUGGUGGAAAGCUUUUGCGGUGUGGGAUGGGCCCGCGGCCUAUCAGCUUGUUGGUGGGGUAAUGGCCUACCAAGGCGACGACGGGUAGCCGGCCUGAGAGGGUGACCGGCCACACUGGGACUGAGAUACGGCCCAGACUCCUACGGGAGGCAGCAGUGGGGAAUAUUGCACAAUGGGCGCAAGCCUGAUGCAGCGACGCCGCGUGAGGGAUGACGGCCUUCGGGUUGUAAACCUCUUUCAAUAGGGACGAAGCGCAAGUGACGGUACCUAUAGAAGAAGGACCGGCCAACUACGUGCCAGCAGCCGCGGUAAUACGUAGGGUCCGAGCGUUGUCCGGAAUUACUGGGCGUAAAGAGCUCGUAGGUGGUUUGUCGCGUUGUUCGUGAAAACUCACA
rnacentral:rRNA from 1 species